UACAUUUUAACGAUGUUUUAGAUAUUGUUAUAAAAUUCUGUGAUGUUUCCGUUACGAUGUAGUUAAUUAAAAAAGCAAUGUCAUAAAAAAAUAAAAAUAACGUAUAAUGUGGACUAAAAUAUGUGUUGCUCUAUUUUAAUCUUAGUAUAUCAAAUAGUGAAAAACGAAUAUCGAUCCUACAAGAUAAUGUUCGCAGUAACGAUGAUAACUACAGAUAAAUAACGCGUUCCGUCCGACUAUUUAGCAACGCCGCUAGGGACCGCCAGUCGUGAUUUCGUAUCGGAUCAUGUACCACAGAUUGUAAACGCUGAGAAAAAUAUAAAUAAAAAUGUGUUGCUGCGUUUGUAACCUGCUUUGCAAGAUCAUUAGUGCAAUCGUCUCCGUUCUGUUUGUCGUUGCAGUCAUACUACUAAUAUUAUGGGGAGUCGGCGUCAUAUUUGCAUAGCAUGAAGACGCCCAAUAAGUCCGCUGGGCUUAUUGCUGGGGAAUGUCUGCUGUCAACAACGCUAAACAAAAGGUUGCAGUAAACUCAGGUUUAUUGCAAAACCUGAAGUUUAGUUACCAAUAAGUAAUUAUUAUGUACAUUUUAAGAAAUUGUAAAUAGGUUUAUUAAUUAAGAAAAGAAAGAAAAAUAUUUUACAGUAAUUAAAAAUGUAAUAAAACAAUAUUUUUUUUCUCGAGGAGUUACCAAAGAUGUUAUAACUAGUUGUUUUGCUGUUAACUAUGUAUUCUAUAAAUAAAUCAGUUUAUUGAAUAAAAUGCUCUCUUUUACUAUCAAUAAUAACCACUAUAGAGAUAAUGCCUCUCGAUAACAAAACUUUCCUCUGCCCAAUACUUUAUCAAAAGGCGGACUGUAGCUCGUACACCGCGAAACUUUGAAACCUAACAAAGUCUAAUUAUUGUUAAAUCCUACAACUGGCUUAAUGUUUUAAUAUUUUGGUUACGAUCAUGUUUUCUUUCUUACUUCAGAAAAUUGUAUUCGAAUCUCAGUCUAUUUGGAUGAAGCAGUGUUAUGGAUAUCAUUGUUUGCACUAAAUUUAUAUGUUCGAUAAAAUACGCGAUCAAAUCGCCAACUACUUGUACUAAUGAUAAACCGGAUGUUACAAUUAUUACCUAGCGAUUAAAGUUAGGCUUUUUA